rnacentral:tRNA from 1 species
AAAAACUUAGGAUAAUUAAACCAAGGGCCUUCAAAGCCCUAAAUAAGGGCCACCAUCCCCUAGUUUUG